ensembl:lncRNA novel transcript
CCGGGGUGGAGGCGAGCGGACCACACCCCGGACUCACCUCCCCUCGACAUCCCGAAGAUGCCCUGGUUCAAGUGCUGGAAGGAGAACUGAUGCCAAAGCCUGCAUUUUGUUACCUUCUUUGGAAUCAUUGGGAAUAUCCCAAGUUUGAAGUCUGAUUUGUUUCUAUUGCUCUGGUUUGGGACACAUCCAUGGAAGCCUAGAAGAGGAGAGGAUUAUCCUUUUAAAUUUAGCCAUUUUCCAACCUUUUUUUUAAAUUUGCUUUGUUUUGUUUUCUUUCAGCAAAUGUGUUAAAUGCCUACCAUGUGUUAGGAAUUUUUACAUUAUGUCAUUUCAAUAAAUUAUGGUUACUAGUAAA